rnacentral:rRNA from 1 species
UACAGAGGGUGCGAGCGUUAAUCGGAAUUACUGGGCGUAAAGCGCGCGUAGGCGGCUUUGCAAGCCGGAUGUGAAAUCCCCGGGCUUAACCUGGGAACUGCAUUCGGGACUGUAUUGCUAGAGUAUGGGAGAGGGAAGUGGAAUUUCAGGUGUAGCGGUGAAAUGCGUAGAUAUCUGAAGGAACAUCAGUGGCGAAAGCGACUUCCUGGACCAAUACUGACGCUCAUGUGCGAAAGCGUGGGGAGCAAACAGG